GCCGGGGUGACCGAGCGGACUAAGGUGCCGGCCUUGAGAGCCGGUGGGGGUUAAUCCCCCGCGCGGGUUCGAAUCCCGCCCCCGGCGCCA
rnacentral:tRNA from 1 species